ACACUACGCGAUCUUUGGCUUUCCAUAACACACACAAUUGCCGUAAAACAACAAUAAACAAUUCACCAAUGAAAGGUUUUGAAAUAAUUUGAAUGUAAGAACAUUUGUCUUUUGUAUCAAAAUAAACAUCACUAAGCCAGCAUGAUGUGCUCUUCGCAGUUAAAAAUUCCUCAAAAUUUUCCGGACAUUUUAAAGGAAUACUCCAAAGAUGCUAUUCGAACUCAGCCCUAUGAUAUUUUGGAGUGGUCUGCAGCUUAUUUUAGAGCAAAGGCUUCUGGUGAAAUUCCACCAGUGAAAGAAAGAUUGGAAUUUCCUCCAGUUGUUACAUCUGCUGGCCUUACUCCAGAAUAUUUGAAGAUGCUACUCAAGAAGUUUGGCUUCAGUGAUACAAUGACCAUUACAAAAGAUGCUGUGACUGAGCAGUGGAAAAAUUUAUGCCUGAAAGAAGAUAAGCUUCUGGAAAUUUUGGAUUGGAAUCACACUGAUUUGGUGGACUGGCCAAAGUUUAUUGCCGUAGCAGCUGGUUAUGUUGGAAAGUCAUUGACUGAAACAAUGGUGCUGCUGAUCAGACUGUUAGGAAGCAGUAGUGACACUGAAGUCGCCAGAAUUCCAACUCAACUGUUUUGUGAUCUCUAUUCGUUUCUGGCAAGUCUAGGUGCUGGGACUGGUUUUCCACAAAAAAAAGAAUUCUGUGAGAAUGAUACUGCAGCUGCCGGCAACAGCAUGAAGCGAGAUGUGCCUGGGAUUGGCCCAAAAGUUCCAGCAGAACAAAUUAAUGAUGUUAUUCAAUAUGUGAUGCAGAAGGGAGAUGGACAAGGAAACAUGAUCACGACUGAAAACCUUUUGGAUUUGUUGUGUCCCCCACUUGAUGCACACUUGUAACUCCACUCUCUCACCCACCAGUGCACAUUGUUUCAAUGAUAAAAAUGAUGUUGAUGAGAAUAUUUGAUUUUUGCUUAUAUAUAUAUAUUAGUGAAAGUAUUAAAAUAUGAUCAUUUAUUUUAUAUAUAGUGAAUCUAAUAACAAAGUGCGUCACUUUAUAAAAUAUCUCACUUUAUGCUACAGUAUGUAUUUUAGAUCUCUACGAGAUGUUGAACAUUUAUUUCAAUCUUAGAAUAAAGUAUUUACUUUAAUUGUUUGGUAUCAAAACUCUGAAACUUCUUCAGGUAUGAGAAAUCACCAUGUAUGGCACUGGCUGUUAGGUGGACAUAGUUAUCUCAAUAACUUUGCAGAUGCAUGUUUAUUGUUAUAACUAAAAAUAGUCAAACUGAAGUAAAAAAAGACUGUAGAUUUGGGUUUUCUUUUGGUACUUUGCUUGUGCUGUGAAAUUUAAGACAUAGUUGUAUUUAUUUGAUAUUUAUUUGUAAGAUUGUAUUUUUGUUUUAUACCACAUUAAAAGUUAUAUUAAAAGAGGAA